UAGACAAAUACACAAAUUUGAGUCAACAGUGACAAUUCCAAAUAAAAAUUACAUGAAACUACAUUAAACUACAAAAAACCACAAUUAACUACAAAUUUGAUUCAACAGUAUAAUUUGCCAAUCAAAUUUAGGUCAACUGUGACAGUUCCAAAUAAACAUUACAUUACACUACAUUAAACUACAAAAAACUACAAUUGACUAAAUUUGAUUACACAGUAUAUUCAGCCAAACAAUUACACAUUAACUCCGAAUAGCAACAAUUAACUACAAUUUGUAUAAGCAACCCUAAUACAUUAUAUUAUUACAAAAAACACUUAGAUGCCAAACAAACAAUUGAAUUCUAAUUUUUUGGCAAAAAAAUAUUAAACUACAAAACAUUGUCGAGAAAAAAAAAGUUGUUUACCUUAACUGAAAUUUGUUGUGGAACCAAUUUUGUGGUUUUUUAGAGUGUUUCAACUUUUUUUGCUUUGAGGGGGAAUGAGACACCUUCUGUAUUUUUGUUUUUUGAACUUUGGGUGAAUCGUCCACAAAAUCAUCAUAUUUUUUUAGAGUGUUUCAACAUUUUUUGCUUUGAGGGGGAAUGAGACACCUUCUGUAUUUUUGUUUUUUGAACUUUGGGUAAAUCGUCCACAAAAUCAUCAUCGUCGACCCUCAAGCUUUUCCCCUUUCGCUUGCGUUGUUUGUCGGCUUCUGUUUCUACACCGGUA
rnacentral:lncRNA from 1 species